GGGAUAAUAGUUAAUUAUAACAUUUGAUUUGCAUUCAAAAAGUAUUGAUUUUUCAAUUUAUCUUA
rnacentral:tRNA from 1 species